rnacentral:rRNA from 1 species
GAGUUUGAUCUUGGCUCAGAUUGAACGCUGGCGGCAUGCCUUACACAUGCAAGUCGAACGGCAGCACGGGAGCUUGCUCCUGGUGGCGAGUGGCGAACGGGUGAGUAAUGCAUCGGAACGUAUCCUGGAGUGGGGGAUAACGUAGCGAAAGUUACGCUAAUACCGCAUAUUCUGUGAGCAGGAAAGCGGGGGACCUUCGGGCCUCGCGCUCUUGGAGCGGCCGAUGUCGGAUUAGCUAGUUGGUGAGGUAAAGGCUCACCAAGGCGACGAUCCGUAGCAGGUCUGAGAGGAUGAUCUGCCACACUGGAACUGAGACACGGUCCAGACUCCUACGGGAGGCAGCAGUGGGGAAUUUUGGACAAUGGGCGAAAGCCUGAUCCAGCCAUGCCGCGUGUGUGAAGAAGGUCUUCGGAUUGUAAAGCACUUUAAGUUGGGAGGAAGGGCAGUAAGUUAAUACCUUGCUGUUUUGACGUUUACCGACAGAAUAAGCACCGGCUAACUCU